GGCGUGUAGCUCAGGUGGUAGAGCACUUGACUUUUAAUCAAGUUGUCCGGGGUUCGAAUCCCCGCACGCUCA
rnacentral:tRNA from 1 species